UGCGUAGGCGGGCUAAUAAGUCAGUGGUGAAAUCUUUCGGCUCAACCGGGAAACUGCCAUUGAUACUGUUAGUCUUGAGUUCGGUUGAGGUAGGCGGAAUGUGUAAUGUAGCGGUGAAAUGCUUAGAUAUUACACAGAACACCAAUUGCGUAGGCAGCUUACUAGACCGACACUGACGCUGAGGCACGAAAGCGUGGGGAGCGAACAGGAUUAAUACCCUGGUAGUCC
rnacentral:rRNA from 1 species